rnacentral:rRNA from 1 species
AGUGUCCGCAUACAUUUGAAAUUAGGCCCGGCGGACGGGAGAGUAACACGUGGGUAACCUACCCUUCAGAGGGGGAUAACACUUGGAAACAGGUGCUAAUACCGCAUAACAGUUUAUGCCGCAGGGCAAAGAGUGAAAGGCGCUUUCGGGUGUCGCUGAUGGAUGGACCCGCGGUGCAUAGCUAGUUGGUGGGGUAACGGCUCACCAAGGCCACGAUGCAUAGCCGACCUGAGAGGGUGAUCGGCCACACUGGGACUGAGACACGGCCCAGACUCCUACGGGAGGCAGCAGUAGGGAAUCUUCGGCAAUGGACGAAAGUCUGACCGAGCAACGCCGCGGGAGUGAAGAAGGUUUUCGGAUCGUAAAACUCUGUUGUUAGAGAAGAACAAGGACGUUAGUAACUGAACGUCCCCUGACGGUAUCUAACCAGAACGCCACGGCUAACUACGUGCCAGCAGCCGCGGUAAUACGUAGGUGGCAAGCGUUGUCCGGAUUUAUUGGGCGUAAAGCGAGCGCAGGCGGUUUCUUAAGUCUGAUGUGAAAGCCCCCGGCUCAACCGGGGAGGAUCAUUGGAAACUGGGAGACUUGAGUGCAGAAAGGGAGAGUGGAAUUCCAUGUGUAGCGGUGGAAAUGCGUAAAUAUGUGGAGGAACACCAGUGGCGAAGGCGGCUCUCUGGUCUGUAACUGACGCUGAGGCUCGAAAGCGUGGGGAGCCAAACAGGAUUAGAUACCACUGGUAGUCCACGCCGUAAACGAUGAGUGCUAAGUGUUGGAGGGUUUCCGCCCUUCAGUGCUGCAGCAAACGCAUUAAGCACUCCGCCUGGGGAGUACGACCGCAAGGUUGAAACUCAAAGGAAUUGACGGGGGCCCGCACAGCGGUGGAGCAUGUGGUUUAUUUUGAGCAACGCGGAGAACCUUACCAGGUCUUGACAUCCUUUGACCACUCAGAGAUAGAGCUUUCCCUUUGGGGACAAAAUGACAGGUGGUGCAUGGUUGUCGUCAGCUCGUGUCUUGAGAUGUUGGGUUAAGUCCCGCAACGAGCGCAACCCUUAUUGUUAGUUGCCAUCAUUUAGUUGGGCACUCUAGCGAGACUGCCGGUGACAAACCGGAGGAAGGUGGGGAGGACGUCAAAUCAUCAUGCCCCUUAUGACCUGGGCUACACACGUGGUACAAUGGGAAGUACAACGAGUCGCUAGACCGCGAGGUCAUGCAAAUCUCUUAAAGCUUCUCUCAGUUCGGAUUG